UGAAUGACCACCUCACACUCUCAGUUACAGCCAGGGUAGAGCCAGAAGGCAGUGAGAGAACGGCUGCCAGUGCCCAAGUACUGGAGCUCAUUUGCCACCCCUCCAGCUUGUUAGUAUGGACUGCUACUGACUGGCAAUUAACACUUGUUCUCUUCUGGAUGCACCUUCUGGGAUCUAUUACAUUUUUUAAAAAACCCAGUUUACUGGUUGGCUUGCAGAAAUACAACCUGUUGUCUACAGGUCUGAGCAGGAUACCCCAUGGGCAUGACUGGAGAGUUACUACUUUGCUCCACUAUCUGCUUAUCAGUUCCUCUGGUUCCCUAUAAAUGAGGUUCAGAACUUC